UAAAUGACAAGGGCUGGAAGUAGAAGAGGCCUUUGACUCACUGAGGAAUCCAUGCUUCUUCCUAGUCUUUCAAGUUUGUUGGUCUGAUGUCCUGGACCUUGGAGGGGAGAAAAUGAGAAUUUUAGUGUACUUAAAGCCACAGAUAGUCACUUUAAAUUCCUCCUGCCAAUAAAUUGCAUCCACAGAAGCCAGAAGCAGGCAUUGGAACUGCUGACACUGGAGUUUCAGACAACUAUGAGCUGUCAUGUGGCACUGGGAAUCGAACCUGGGUCCUCUGAAAGAACUGAAGUCUGCCAUUUCAAGGGCAGCCUGGGCAAGCCAGUGAAGACUCUUACUCACAAAGAAAACAAGUGCUGGAGAUGGAGCUCAGUGGUAGAGCACUCACUCACCCAGCAAAGCCUAGUACUGCAGGAAAAAAAAGAAAAGAAAAGAAAAGAAAAGAAGAGAAGAGAAAAGAAAAGAAAAGAAAAGAAAAGAAAAGAAAAGAAAAGAAGAGAAGAGAAGAGAAAAGAAAAGCAACAAUAAACAAACGAACUUCAGUGAUGCGGGUGUGGUUGCAUUUCUGGAUCUAGGUGAUUACUUAACCCCCACACUCUUUCCAGAAGGAAUGAAAGAUGAGAACCAUGUCAACAGUGUGAAGGGCAUCCCUUCUGUGGAAGGUGACAUGCUUUUGUUGCAUCCUACCACUCGGCGUUCAGUUUUCGGGCCAUGCUCACACCCAUGAACAUCUGGGAAAGCCUCUCAGAAAUGUAGAAUUCUGUUAUCAAGGGAGAGGGGGGAUGGAUAUUGGAAUAGUGGCAACAGGACCGUUCUUGGUGGCAACAUCCUGAGACGUAGGCAGGGUUGCAUAGCCCACCAGCGAGCCCAGCACUUUGCCCUUUGGAAAGCUUCUUGGGGUCCAUUCCCAUUGGAAUUUGUAGAUCUUUCUUUGGAUGUGCGGACACUUGCAGGAGUAUAUGUGUGUGUCCAAGCGCAGACUUGUAUCCUUUUAUUAGAAAAGAAAACGAUCGAAAGCUGUUUCCUUUGGUCUUCCUGUGGCGGUCAGAUGAGCCGGGUUUAGAGACUGUUGCUAGUGAAACAGUUCCCGACGCCCUUUCAUUUCUCCUCUGUUGGUUCCACGGGUUUCCUUUCCCUCCCUUGCCCCCUCCCUCUCUCCCUCUUCCCUUUCAUUCCCGAACCCCUCCCCCUCUAUCUUCUUAUGUUGCCUGGGCACCCUGUCUCCACAUCCCACUGCUCGCUUGUGCCAAGGAGUAAGUCAAACAAGGUUGGAAAGACAGGCGGGGGCGGGGGGGGGCGAGUGAGGACA